UGAUAACCCUCUUCUGUAUGAAUUAGCAAAUUUUAGUUUGGGAUCUUUUGCGGACUUAGAGGCAGGGGACGGGGUCAUCGCGAUUGCCUGGAAGACUGGAAACGAAAUAAAGAACACUGGGAAACUGAGCGUAGUAUUGGAACCUCAGGAGGCUGGGUUGGAAGUCCAGUAGGAAGAAAGAGAUAGGGUACUUGUUGGGACACGUGACUAGAAUUUAGACCUGUGAGCCGCGCUGGAUGUAGAAAAAGAAGUGAUUUAAGGGAAAGAACUCUAGGUAGAAAUUUUUUUCCACGAGAACACCCUGGGUGUUUGUCCAGCCUUGAUGAAAGCCAACAGAGAAAUGAAACGCCUUUUUGUGGGUGGUCUUGGGCAGAAUAUUUCUGAGGCAGACUUGCAGAAUCAGUUCGGCAGAUUUGGAGACGUUUCUGAUGUGGAGAUCAUCACUCGGAAAGAUGAUCAAGGAAACCCACAGAAAGU